rnacentral:tRNA from 1 species
GGCCUGUUGGUCUAGAGGUAUGAUACUCGCUUCGGGUGCGAGUGGUCCCGGGUUCGACUCCCGGACAGGCCC